GAAGCAUUGGCAAAUACAAAAUGGUGUUUAGUUUUCCUUGAGUUAUAUUUGUAUAAAUGUGUAAUAUGUGUUCCAAAAUAGUACGCGAGUCCUAGAAAUCUGAUAUGUCUUGGUUUAUGUUACCAGUCAUAAUCGUAAUGUUAAAUCUUGUAUGCCACAAAAAUAACCAGAUCUCUUUGUGUGGAGACAAAAUGACUCCAUCUUGGAUGUUAAUCCACCAUUGACUUCUGAAUGACCCUAUUUCUGUGAAUGCCUCCUGAUUUCUUCUUAAUUUAUUGUCCUUAGUGUAAGAAUAUGUGCUCACUACAAAUCCCGAUUUUAGAUCAAAGCAACCUUGAUGUUAUCACAUAAAUUAUAGGCUAUGACACAUAUAACAUUCUUGGUGUUCUGGAGGGUUGCCUUGAAUUGUCUUGCUGGAGCAUGUAUACCUUUCCCCUAUGGUAUACAAGCCUUGGGUCUGGGAAGUAACAGUGUAGAUAUCGACCUGUCUUGCAGCCACCCAAGACCACGUUUCUGUCUGUAAGUUCCCCUAAUAAAUCAUCAUAUACCAACAAACUGGAUUUAUCUGCCUCAUUUUUUGGUUUCUUGGCUCCUUUGGCAUUUGAGAACUGCUUUUUACAUACAGAUCUUUCACAGAACACCUUGUCGAUUGCAUCAUUAUUGUGAACUCUCAUAAGAUUUUUAACCAUGGCCAUUUUAAGUCUUGUUGUCCACAGUAAAUUGUUUUACUCUGAUGCUUCUCCUGAAAGACAUUUGCAAGUGUUCUGUCUUCAAGAAGGUUCAUGAAAAAAAUAAAAAGCUUCUGACAGCUACCCUGAAAUAUAGACCUCUGCUAAUGACUUUGAGAUUAUCCAGUUGGACUGUAUAAAAAUUUUAAUAAUUCCAAUGGAAAAAGCUGGACUCAUAAAACUGUGAACUCAACCAGCAGAAUAAGAAUUACAUGGGCAUCAACUGAUUAAGGAUUAUGAUAUUUUAUGGCUUUAGGUUUGAACAUUACUGAUUCUUUUUGUUUUGUUUUCCAAAGUUAAGGAGCUUCCUUUUAUUCCUCUUAAAGUUUACAGCAAUUGGGUAUAGUUUUGUGAACAAAAUUGAAACAUUUGCCUUUCUCUCUACCUUAUCCCUCCAAAAUGUUGAAAUUCAUGAAUAUUCUUAUUUUAUGGUAAUGUAGUUAUUUGCAUAAGCUCAGUAAGAAUCUGUUCUUCUUGUAACAGAACACAAUUGGAAACACUGGUUAUUUUACCAAGGCCUUGACUGGAAUGUCAUAUUUUCAUCUAUGACCAGACAGCUUUACAGAACGGAGGCUGACAUUAUGAAGCCAAUAGAAGCCCUGGGAAAAACUGGCCUAGUACCUUACAUACACAUUUCUUAUGGCUGCCCCGUGUCACUAGCUCAUCUGUUAACAUGUGAAAUGUCCAGGAAACUCUGAGCUCAGAAACGAAUAUCCCAAAAUGUGGCACUUUGAUGUGCUAAAGAAGCAACCUCAUGGUCUUUCUGAUCUCCCUGCUCCUGCUUCUCAACCCUCCAUCUCUCCCAAAGGAAAGGAUGAAGCUGUUCUUUGAAGCUCUCUUAUUUGCCCAAAGUCAAGACCCACCAAAGAAAAUAACUACCUCUGCCCCUUCCCUUAGUUUUCAUUAACUUAACUCAUAUUGAGGAAGAAAGAUUCAAGUCUGUCAAUACACCUGGACAGACUUUUGUCACAAACCACUGUCUUCUAUUCUGGUCCUAUUCAGUAUUUCAAAGAGAAUCAUUUACCACCCAUUGUCUGCUCUGUGGGCCCAACAGACUUUGUCCCAGGCCACUGUGUAUUUUCCAAGUCCAUUAAUUUCCCCCUAACAAUCGUUUACUAUCCUCAAAUUGCCACAUAUUCCCAUCUCUUUCCUCUAUGGAGAAGGGUAUAUAAACAUCUGUAUCCCAUUGAGCUACUGGGCUGUCAGAUUCUCCUCCGAUUUUCCUGUGUCACGCAUUUUACAAUAAAUGUCGUAUGCCUUUUCUCCUUUUAACCUGCCUUUUGUCAGUGAACCUUCAGAGGAGGAAGUGGGAAGCUUGGCCCCUACAGCAGCAUGACUGGUAAUGGUAAAAGACUGGAAACAACCAACAUGUACAUCACAGUUAGAUAAAUGAUGGUUGUUCCUAGUGUGCGAUACCAUACAAAUGUAAAAUGAAUGAGCAUGUUCUCUAGAUAUUGAAACAGAAAGCUCUCUAACACAUGCUAAGGAAGACAAGCAAGGGAAGAGCAGUGUCUGUAAAACGCUCCUGUAUGUGUCAAAAAGAGGGGGAAGAUAAUAUGAAUUGGCUUGUAGAUGUAGAAAAAUAUCUGCAUUAAAAAAGAAAUUAUCAACCACUGGUUAUUUCCUGUUGGGGCCCUGGGGAACUGAGUAGUUUUGAUGUUUGAGUCAUAUAAAUGUAGUAUCUAUUAAAAAUAUGAAACAAA
rnacentral:lncRNA from 1 species